rnacentral:lncRNA from 1 species
UGUGAACCUAAGCGGGGGAACUAACUGGAUUCCUUUCUGUGGGAAUUUCAGUAGAAAACAUCUCAAGAAUGAGGGAGAAAAGCAAUGAAAGCAGAAGCUGAAAGGUUGAGAUGAAAAAAUGAAUGCUUUCAAACAAAAUCUUCGAUGAAACCCUAUAUAUGGAACAGGCGAAUGUGGAGCUGCUGUUACUGUAUGCAACCUGAACAAUGAGAUGCAGUACCCUGGGCUUUGUUUCCUAAGGAAGCAACCUGUAACAUCCCCUAACUUGAGAAAAGCACUUCCAAGGUCUUGUGACUUGCUUUGGCCAAUAGGAUGUGGCAGAGGUGAAAAUCUUAGCCCUCAAGAUAAGUUGCAUGCUUCCAAUCUCUUUUUUUGGACUCCUGACUUUGUCAUGAGAACAAACCUUGGCUCCCUGCUGGAGAAUGAGAGACUUCAUAGAGAAGAAGCCUCAGCCAAUAGCUGGCCAACUCCCAGAAGCUGAGCUACCCAGUGGGCUGUAGCUGACCACAGUCACAUGAGGAGCCCAGCAGAGACUGGAAGAACUGCCAGCCAAGCUUAUCCCCAAAUGCCAAACUGCAGAAUUGCAAG